rnacentral:siRNA from 1 species
GGAGGUGAAAUGUCGCGGAACGG